CGCGCAAGGUGCCAGUGGUGCGCGGGAGCCUGUGGGGAUGCUAUGGGGCUGGUAUGUGUGGGUGUGUGCGGUGGCAGGUGGGGAGAUGCGAAGCAUGCAGUCGCAUGUGGGCGCUUCUGUGGGCUUUUCUGUCGGUGGGUGGAGGCGUGGCACACGUGGCAGCAGAUAGGAAUGUCAGGUUCUGCUGCAUUUUGCAUGAGGACACCCAGCCUGCAGGGCUGCUUGCUGAGGGGCGCAGAUACUCACGGGAGUAUAUGGGGCACGUGGAUGCCCGUGACAGCAGGUGGAAGCAUGCUCAGGUGUGCGACUCUGUGUGUGAUGACUCAUGGGCUUCCACGAGCGGACGUGUGCGUCUGUGUAGCAGCAUGCGCAGGACACUUGCGGGCACAGGAGCCCAAGGUGCUGCAGGGCCAGGAGUGCAAGGCCAAUUCGCAGCCUUGGCAGACGGCUUUGUUCCAGGGCAUCCAGCUGCUCUGCGGGGGUGUUCUCAUAGAUGACCGCUGGGUCCUUACAGCAGCCCACUGUAAAAAAGAGAAAUACACAGUGUGCCUGGGAGAGCACAGCCUGAAGAAGAAGGAUGGAACAGAACAAGAAAUGGCUGUGGCCCAGUCCAUCCCACACCCCUGCUAUAACAGCAGCAGCAAUGACCACAGCCACGAUCUGAUGCUGAUUCGACUACGUGGUCGGGCAUCCCUGGGGUCCAAAGUGAAGCCCAUCAACCUGGCGGAUCGCUGCCCUCAAACUGGCCAGAAGUGCACCAUCUCAGGCUGGGGCACUGUCACCAGCCCCCAAGAGAACGCCCUAUGCAGCUGUGGAUGCACUGAAGGGAGGUUAGACCCAGACAGGGACGGAAGGAAAGAGGUGCUCUCUCUGGGAACUUACAACCUCUGCCCCCUUCAGAGAAUUUUCCUGACACCCUCAACUGUGCAGAAGUAGAAAUCUUUUCUCAGAAGCAGUGUGAGGAUGCCUACCCUGGGAAAGUCACGGACAGCAUGGUCUGUGCAGGAGACAGCAGUGGGGCUGACACGUGCCAGGGGGAUUCCGGGGGCCCACUGGUGUGUGGUGGCGUUCUCCAGGGCAUCACAUCCUGGGGGUCAGACCCCUGUGGGCGGCCUGAGAGACCUGGCGUCUACACCAGCAUCUGCCGCUACCUAGACUGGAUCAAGAAGAC